AACGAACGCUGGCGGCAGGCCUAACACAUGCAAGUCGAACGCUGUAGCAAUACAGAGUGGCAGACGGGUGAGUAACGCGUGGGAACCUACCCUUUGGUUCGGAAUAGCUCAGGGAAACUUGAGGUAAUACCGGAUACGCCCUUCGGGGGAAAGAUUUAUCGCCAAAGGAUGGGCCCGCGUCGGAUUAGCUAGUUGGUGGGGUAACGGCCUACCAAGGCGACGAUCCGUAGCUGGUCUGAGAGGAUGAUCAGCCACACUGGGGCUGAGACACGGCCCAGACUCCUACGGGAGGCAGCAGUGGAGAAUAUUGGACAAUGGGCGAAAGCCUGAUCCAGCAAUGCCGCGUGAGUGAUGAAGGCCUUAGGGUUGUAAAGCUCUUUUACCCGGGAUGAUAAUGACAGUACCGGGAGAAUAAGCUCCGGCUAACUCCGUGCCAGCCGCCGCAGUAAGAC
rnacentral:rRNA from 1 species